GUCAGACUGGUUCUCAGUUCAGACACACACCUUCUGCUGUGGACUUCAGUGUUUGUCAUGGUCCAGGUCCGUUUGGCUGCUUUUACUUCUGUGUGCUGGUUCUGGAUCCUCAUAAACUGUCUGAGUUUGGUCUUCUUCUCUCCUGUCAGAGGUCAGAUCCAGGUCCUCAGUCCACAUGAGCCAGUCAGAGCUGCUCCAGGGGAGGACGCUGUCCUGAAGUGCCUCGUGGAUCCUAAAUUUGACAUUGGGGGUAAGACGGUGGAGUGGUCCAAGUUGGACCUGAAGGUGAACCCGGCGGACCCAUCGUAUGUGUACCUGUACCGAAACCGACGUGAAGACGUGCUCCUGAUGUUCCCGUCGUAUGUUGGGAGAACGAAGCUCUUCACUGAGGCUCUCAAAGAUGGGAACAUACUGCUCCUGAUCAAGAAUGUCACACUGGCAGAUAACGGACAAUACAGAUGUUUCAUCCCAGACUUAAAGAGCACCUCCCGACAGUCUACUGUGACGCUUGUUGUUGAUCCAAACUAUGCUAAAAUGACCACAACAGAGAUGCCACUGGAACCGAGCAGUUUCCAGACUGUAGAACCGAUCACAGACACACCUGGAAAAGGUCAACGGCAUCAUCUGAUACCUAUCGUCAUACUUGCUACUUUACUAAUCCUGGUGUUCGGUGUUGGACCACUUGGAUACUUAUUUCUUCAGAUGAAACACCAAACUUGUCAUCACAUUGCACAAAUCCAUGCCUAGGUGCCUUGCUCAACCUGACUUUGCCAGUUGAUGUUAAGAGACUGAGGAGUCGAACUAGCAACCUCUCCAUCUGCAGGCGGACUGUGGUGGAUCAGUAGACCGCAGCAGAAAUAAAUCUCACCUUUCUGUUCCUGGCUGCGUCCACCACCAGAGGCCGGCAGAUUCCCAAACUAAAACAGACUCCUUUUGAAGUCCACCUGGAUUUAAAUUGAAUUCUCCUUCAGCUUGUUUUGGCUUCCAGUCUGGAGAAGGAACUGUGCCAGACCCUGCAGUCCCCCUGUAGUUAAAGGGAUCGGCCAAGAACUGCAAUGAACAUUAGCCUUUUGGUUUUUCAGGGAAGAGAUGAAGAUCACCGUGGUUGCAGGUCUGCCACGACUGUAGAUCAUAAUUUCUGUUUCGGCCUUGAUUGUUGAGGAUGUUCCAACGUGUAACCACAGAUAUCCAUAAGAUUUCCGUGGAUUUUUGGCCUUGAUGUUCUUAAAACUCCAGGCGAGUAUAUUUAUUUAUUUAUUUAAAGACUGUAAAAUCAGAGACAGUGCUUUUAUUUUAGCUCCAGUCUUUUUUUUUUUUUCUUUUACAGUGUAAAAGAUUAGUUCCUACUGGAGCAGCUCAGGCAGCUCUGUCAUCCAAAUUGGACCUUUAGGUGAUAACAUGAAGGACUCUUAUUGCAUAGUGCAGUCUUCUUCUUUUAUUUAUGUUUGUGAAAUAAACCCAGGAUUUCAUCGUCACAAGAGAUUCCAACUGAAGUGUCUACAUCACAGGUGUCAAACAUGUGUCCCGGGGUCCAAAACCGGCCCACCAAAGGUUCCAAUCUGGCCCGUGGGAUGAGUUUACAAAGUGCAGAAGAUAUUAACAGUCAAGGGCGUCAAACUGG